rnacentral:rRNA from 1 species
UGUAGUAUANAGGACUACCAUGGUGGUAACGGGUAACGGAGAAUCAGGGUUUGAUUCCGGAGAAGGAGCCUGAGAAACGGCUACUACUUCCAAGGAAGGCAGCAGGCGCGCAAAUUACCCAAUCCCGACACGGGGAGGUAGUGACAAAAAAUAACAAUACCGGUCUUAUUUAAGUCUGGUAAUUGGAAUGAGUACAAUCUAAAACCUUUAACGAGUAUCAAUUGGAGGGCAAGUCUGGUGCCAGCAGCCGCGGUAAUUCCAGCUCCAAUAGCAUAUAUUAAAGUUGUUGCAGUUAAAAAGCUCGUAGUUGGAUUUUGAUGUUACUUUUCAUAACCUGCCUUGUAUAAGGUAUGUUUGUUGUGAUUAGUUCAUCUCCUUACUAGACUUUCAUGAUUACACUUAAUUGAGUGAUCAUUUCAUUCUGAUUUAUUAGGGUGAGUGAUGAGUAGACCUACUGGGUUCGAGAUUGUGGAUGAACUUCUUCGGAGGUUGGUUCUGCUUGGAUUCAGUAACUAUUCAUUAGAAAUCUAGUUCAUUUACUUUGAGUAAAUUAGAGUGUUCAAGGCAAGCAAAUUUGUUUCUGCAAUGAAUACUAUUAGCAUGGGAUAAUGGAACAGGACACGUAUUCUAGUUUUCCGUUGGUUUCUAGAAUUUUUAGUCGCUCCUUGGAGUGGCGAAGUGUAAUGAUUAAAAGGGACAGUUGGGGGCAUUCGUAUUUCAUUGUCAGAGGUGAAAUUCUUGGAUUUAUGAAAGACGAACUUCUGCGAAAGCAUUUGUCAAAGAUGUUUUCAUUAAUCAAGAACGAAAGUUAGGGGAUCGAAGACGAUCAGAUACCGUCGUAGUCUUAACCAUAAACUAUGCCGACCAGGGAUUGGAAGAUGUAUUAUCCUGUUUAAACGCAGGAAAACUCCUUCAGCACCUUACGAGAAAUCAUAAGUCUUUGGGUUCUGGGGGGAGUAUGGUCGCAAGGCUGAAACUUAAAGGAAUUGACGGAAGGGCACCACCAGGAGUGGAGCCUGCGGCUUAAUUUGACUCAACACGGGAAAACUCACCAGGUCCAGACACAGUUAGGAUUGACAGAUUGAGAGCUCUUUCUUGAUUCUGUGGGUGGUGGUGCAUGGCCGUUCUUAGUUGGUGGAGUGAUUUGUCUGGUUAAUUCCGAUAACGAACGAGACCUCAGCCUGCUAAUUAGUGAUGCAAAUGAUUACAUCCGUAAGGAGAGGGUUUCUAUUAAAGCUUUGAGUUUGACUUGGAGAUUUAAUAGAAAAACUUGUUUUCAUUUGUUAGAAUUUUGAUCUCUUCGGGGUGAAGAAUUCGAUAAUGACUUCUUAGAGGGACACUUGGUGUUUAACCAAGGGAAGUUUGAGGCAAUAACAGGUCUGUG